rnacentral:lncRNA from 1 species
GAGAGAAUUCUACACCUACGGGCUCCACUUGACUUGCAAUGGUAAACAAGCUAUGGAUUUGAGGAGAAUUAGAGGAUAACCGCAAGGUGGUACAUAUAACCCAAGGUGGGCAAAUAUGGCCCACACAACAUAUACCAACAUGGCCAUACAUCACGCCAAUCAGCUCGUCUCCUUCCUCUGAGCUAAUCAUCUGGCAUGGUGCAUGGACUAGAUGAUUAGCAUAGUGCAUGGCCACAUACAAACGAUGUAGGGUAUAAUUUCUCUCCAUGGUGGGAUGAACACACCACAAAUAGUGCAAAUUAAAGUUGGACAAGUGACGCACAGAAAACCAUCAUCCUGUCAAACUAUGGAGCAAUACAUGCAAAGCUUUGCUAAAAUUUCAGCAAAUGAAAAUAAUAAUCAGUGAGCAAGUGUACUGAUACAGAAAAAGGCCUAGAAACAAUUUUCAAAGUAUACAUUCACAAGAUUCUGAUCUCCUUCUUUGGAUUCGUAAAGGAAAAAACCUGAACCUCAAAACACCCAGAGAGUUGUGGUUCAUAAAAGCCUAGAAAUAUUUCUCCAGGAUAACAAGUUCACAUCUAAAAUUCCAAUUUAAGCCACUUGUUGUAAUAGAUACAAGUCUUUGGUGAGAUAAUUCCAUCUGGUGUGCACUCGCUUAUCCGUGGGCAAACUCCACAAGGAAUUGAUGAAAAUGAA